AACGCACAUUGCGCCUCCAGUAACUCGGAGGCAUGCCUGUCUGAGCGUCAUUUAAAACAAUAGACCCGCUUGGGUUUGUAUUGGGCAUCGCCUCCUGGCGUAGCCUCAAAGACAUUGGUCUCACAUGCGGACGAGUUCCUUUAGGACAGACCACGUGGAGACUUUAAAUCAUCUGACUUGACCUCAGAUCAGGUAGGACUACCGCCUGAACUUAA
rnacentral:misc_RNA from 1 species